AGUGGCAGACGGGUGAGUAAUGUAUAGGAAUCUACCUAGUAGUACGGAAUAAUUGUUGGAAACGGCAACUAAUACCGUAUACGCCCUACGGGGGAAAAAUUUAUUGCUAUUAGAUGAGCCUAUAUUAGAUUAGUUAGUUGGUGAGGUAAAGGCUUACCAAGACAAUGAUCUAUAGCUGAUCUGAGAGGAUGAUCAGCCACACUGGAACUGAGAUACGGUCCAGACUCCUACGGGAGGCAGCAGUGGGGAAUAUUGGACAAUGGGCGAAAGCCUGAUCCAGCCAUGCCGCAUGAGUGAAGAAGGCCUUCGGGUUGUAAAGCUCUUUUAGUGAGGAAGAUAAUGACGGUACUCACAGAAGAAGUCCUGGCUAACUCCGUGCCAGCAGCCGCGGUAAUACGGAGAGGGCUAGCGUUAUUCGGAAUCAUUGGGCGUAAAGGGCGCGUAGGCGGGUUAGUAAGUUAAAAGUGAAAUCCCAAGGCUCAACCUUGGAACUGCUUUUAAAACUGCUAGUCUAGAGAUUGAAAGAGGAUAGAGGAAUUCCUAGUGUAGAGAUGAAAUUCGUAAAUAUUAGGAGGAACACCAGUGGCGAANGCGUCUAUCUGGUUCAAAUCUGACGCUGAGGCGCGAAGGCGUGGGGAGCAAACAGGAUUAGAUACCCUGGUAGUCCACGCUGUAAACGAUGAAUGUUAAAUAUGGGAAGUUUACUUUCUGUAUUAUAGCUAACGCGUUAAACAUUCCGCCUGGGGACUACNGUCGCAAGAUUAAAACUCNAAGGAAUUGACGGGGACCCGCACAAGCGGUGGANCAUGUGGUUUAAUUCGAUGCAACGCNNAAAAC
rnacentral:rRNA from 2 species